rnacentral:tRNA from 1 species
UCCCUGGUGGUUUAGUGGUUAAGACUCUGCACUUUCAAUGCAGAGGGCAGAGGUUUGCUCCCUGGUUGAGGAA